CGUGCGCGCUCGCACCGAGCACAGACUUCAUGGGGACUGCUUAACCGCUUUAACGUCGCUAUAACGGUAGCUUCGCUAGGGGAAGGCAGGGAUAGCUGGGCGGGAGCGGCGGUAGGGGCAGCGCGAUCGGCGGUCAGGGGCCGCUACCGAGGCAUGGAAGACGCAAGGCGGCAGCGGUAGGAGGCGGCUAGCUGGGGCGUUCACAGCCUGCAGGAGGCGGCGAGGUCGGGGGCGAGGAAGAGGCCACCACGAGACUCUCAACUUCGGUGUUUCCCCACGACGUACCUGUUCCUAUACCUUUUCGAACGACGUCUGAACGCACUUCACUUACGCGUUGAGCUAAAAGACAACCUCGUCCUCUCUGCGAAGCUCGCACCGGUCCUCGACGUUUUCUUCGACAGCACGCAGGAACAAGGACGGUGGUAGCGUAAGAUGUAGAAACCGGGCUUCUUCUUCCCAUUCGGCAGCCUCCUCCUCGUUGGUCUGUAAAUCGGAACACGCAUAGGUACACGUAUACGGCAUCGAAGCACAUGACUUGAUACAAUACAUUGACACACCACUAUCAACAGAGAUUGCUCUCGCACACGUGUUAGACGACCCCUCAUAAGUCCGCCGACACGAACGAGUGUCCAGUGUCGGUACCUUUGAAUCCCACGGAGAACUUGAACCUCGAACCGAUCACCAUAGAACUGUUCCUCUUAGGACAAAACACCAUAGAACUGUUCCUCUUAGGAUACAUCAUCAUCGUAAUCCUUCUGUUCCUAAAACAAGGUUCAAACACGAAGCUCACGACCAAACUUUGUUCGAACGUUACACUC
rnacentral:rRNA from 1 species